rnacentral:lncRNA from 1 species
UGAUGUAGCUUGAUGUCUUCAAGCUUUAAGAGCUUAGCCCCAAUAGUGUGGAAGCCUCAAGUGGAAUCACAAAUCACCAAGACACCUUGGAAGACUUUAGAGAAUAUGAAUACUUGGUUCUCUCUUAGUUAAAUCGGCUAGCCCUCUUAGUGUAUCCACACUAGUGCCAAUUUCACCAACCAAUGACAUCUUUAUAUAGUGUGGAGGAUUAGGGUUAAACCCUAAUACCCAUGACCUUUCAUUUCCUAGGAUCCAUGGGUUAAACACUCCAUGGACUAUCCAUGAAAGCUUAGCCCAACCUAAAUGAACUUGGCCCAUUCCAUAUAUAUAAGAGUCCAUAUUUAAUUAGUUCCUUUUGAUCACUUAAUUAAUUAUAAAUUAAUUCUUGAUCAAUACUAAUUAAAUAAUAUGAUUCCAUAUUAAUAUAUUAGAACUUAUAAUAUAUUAAUAUUAAUCAUAAACAUACUAUUCUCAAAAGAUUAUCCAUAUAAAUUGUGUCGGUGAAGUGCAACCCAAAUGGACCAUGCCGGGUCGGGUCAAGUACAUACCAAAUAUAGUUAUGGACUUAGACAUUAAUCCAACAGUCUCCCACUUGGAUAAGUCUAAAACUAUUAUUGCGUAUGACUUCAAACCUAACUGGCAAUCGUAGCUCUUAAAGCUGCUGUCGAACUCUGAUCUUGUCAACGAACUUGUCCAUUAGAUAAGGGAUCAUAUAUUCCUCCAUUCUAGAUAUCAUAUGGACUGAGACAUGGAUUAUAAUCAUUCUCUCUGUCCAUUUGUUGUUUCCCGAUUUCCGAUUUAUGACGACUGACUAAUUGAACAAAUCAAAUCAGUCCUGGCCCGGCCGAGCACUUCCAUUUGUCAUCAUCAAAUCAUCGAGGGGCCCACAGAUAUCGCUUUUAUCCCGAAGGUAAAAGGAAUGGAUAAACUUCGACUCAUAUGGCUUGUUCUACUACUUGUUGAAUCAUACACAAAGGCACGUUUUAUAGCACCGAGUUACCAAAUGCGUUUUCGUGCAAUCAAUGUACAACCAACUCAUAGUAACAACUCAUAUCUCUAGGUUUGAAGAAUAUAAGAUAUUAUCGUCUCAUGAUCACUCGUGAUAAAAUCCAUGAAGUGAUUCCAAUGAGCGCGGGUUGAAUCCAAUACUCAGAACUUAUGAGCACUCAUGAGUGUUGUAGCCCUUUGUCCAACACCUUAGACCUCUACAAGCCAACCCAUGACAGUCUUAAUUCAUAUCUACUUCCAACAUAUGACCGACUGUGGAUGGUUUGAAUAACUUAGUCAUUCCGGAAGAAUAACCUAGUUUAUUCGGGAAGUCAAAACAUGCAAAGUGAAACACAAUAAUAAUUGAAUCCAAUAUGGUAUCAAAUCUUUGAACAUAAAUAAAACACCUUUUAUUUAUCACCAUAUGAUUACACAUUAUUCAUUGUAUACUGUUUCAGCUAUCAACUUUAUUCUUGAAUUUAAAACAAUAGUUGUCCCAUGCUCCAAGCAUGUACACUAUGUUUUCUUAAACACUAGUCAUGCCACACACCAAGUAUGCAUACUAUGUUUGUCUAUGAUCUUUACUUUGUGAACUAGAUCAAUUGAACAUAACUUCAAUGAUUCUCUUUUCACACUCCCAAAUCCUUACUGCAAAUGCAAGAAUUCCAAAUUCAUGCCAUUUACUGAAAUCUGUUAGAUUCUAAACUUAUAUGCAUUGAUCCUCUUGUAAUGAUUAUGCACAAAGUCAGAAAGACUUGACAACAAUCAUUACAGAGUAUUCCAAAGGAGAUCAGCUCCUUGGAAACAUCCUUCUUGCAUUAAGUUUCCUAAUCUUAAACAGAUUGAAAAUUCUAACUUUGAAACAUUUCCAGAUUCCAUUUUGACUAUCACUUCUGAACAAGAGUUGCCUCCUUACAGAUUAUGUCAAUAUGGUCCUUCCAGAAUUAUCACUAUACUUCCAACUGUCCUUGAGCAACCAAUCUUUGGUAAACCUUAGAUUGUCCUCGACAAUUGUUUAAUCCUUUUAGUCAUAUCCAGUUCUAAACCUUUUCCCUUCUUAAUGCCCCAGGCAUUUGGAAAAUUUUAGAACGGAUGAAUAUAGCACAUGUAAUCGAUCCUAUAUCCGAAGCAUAUGGGACACGAUUCAUGAUGUCUUACAUAAAGACUAAACCAGUCUUUUGCUAUAAUAUUUCCAUUUCAAUUUGCCAAGUUCUCAUAAUUCAGAUUAUGAAAAGGGAUGCCGUAAUCAUAAUCGAAUUUUAGAACGCAAAUAAUGGACCCAUAUACAGAAUUUCCUUAUGUUGAGCCAUUCCAACAUGAAAUUCAUAUAUAUCCUUGACUAAAUGAUUAAAACCUCACGAUCUAAGCUUAUAGAUUUGAGAUGAAGUAUAAUUUCCUCUCCCUUAAUUAUAGCAAAACAACUUUUUCCCAAUUGAAACUUUUGUUUUCUAUAAUUAACAUUGCUAACUUGCAAUACUUAUCAUAAUUAUCAUGCUCCCACUAACAUGAUGAUUAUUAGCAUAACACUUAUGCUCCCACUAGCUUUGACAUGUACUCAGAAAUCAGCUGGACUUCUAGAAAUCAAUACUUCAUUGACUUUCUUACCAAAGUUCAGAUUUCUGAUGCUAGAUUGUUUUGAUAAAGCUUUAUCAAAAUCAUACACCUUCCCUUAGAUAGCACACUUGUGUAUCUAAACAAUUAUGAAGAGGGAUGCCGUAAUCAUAAUGUUUAGACCUUUUUGCCACUUCUCACAAGUCCAAAUUAGUGUGCCGGUUAACCACACGCGCUCCACUAACGACUUUGAGAAUGCAAAUAUCACAAUUGCUAUCUAGCUAAAAUCUACUUAGUGAAAGUGUUUCCUCACCAUCAUUUUCAUGAAUCGGAGAGAAACCUUAUGACACUUAGAUUUAAUGGUGUAUGUGUUCUUAUCCAUGUGAAUUGUCAAAACCAUAGUCACAAGACAAGGAUAAUGACAAAUCCAAACUCAUAUGGACUGAACUCAAUCUUAAUUUCUUGCCACCUGGCAGCUCAAGGGCCUACCAUUGCUUCCAAGUUGUUGUGCAACAAAUUGAGAACUCUAAGAACUCAUAUGCAAAACCAACUUUAACUGGAAUGGGCACAGAAUAUGUCAACACGAUAGGUUAUGAACCUCAAGUUGUGUGCUAGUGAAGAACUUUAGGUUUUAUUCUUGAUUAGUUCUUGAGACUUUCAAGACUUUUAAGACUCCCACUGACCUCUUGACCUAUAAGACUCCCUUGUCAAAUAUCCAAGAGAUAGUGUGGAUUCUAAUCAAGACAAACACUUCACACAAUUGGCCUAAGUUGGUCUUUGUUUUAUCCAAAACAUCACAACUUACCAAUUUCAAAUGUACAAGAGUAGAAAACUUUUACUCUUACAUUUGACAAGUGUUUUAAACCUUCUUUAAGACAUGUCACUCAAAUUACAAUCUUGGAGUAUGACUCUAAGACUUGUAUUGGAACGAAGUAUGACUCAUCUUCUUGAUUUAACCAUUUCAACAAUUCAAGUUCCUCUUCUUAGUCAUAAGAAUGCACUAAGAUUUCCUUAGAGAACUAAUUUUGAUAUGGUUUCUUAAUCAUUAAGAUGAUCACAAAACUGAUACUAAAGUACUCUCCCAUCUUUUCAGAUUUGAGAAACUUUUAUCCUUCUGCCUAAUUUGAUUCUUCUUAUUCGCUCUGCCAUACAUUGGAACCUUUUCCAAUGUCUCAGAGUUACACUUAAGCUUGUAAGUAUAAUCAUAUUUACUGAGCUUUAGUAAACUAUGACGAAUAGUCUUAUCAAUCUUUUGUGGUGGACUUAAUCAGUGCACAAGAAUGUGUACUCGAUCCCUUAGUCCUUUACUUGACUCACACAUCCAUGUGGCCGAGUAAUUAGUCUUAAUUUUCCAAAACUUGAAAGUUCUCAUUCAUCAUGCUAUACAACUUGCAUGAUUCCAAGUUCCGGUCCAAUUGAAACUUGGGUGAUGAGAAUCUUUCCUUAUUUGGUAAAUCUAGACAUUACCACAAAUGAAAGAAUCAAUUUCAUAUUUCCACUCUUGCUAUUAAUGGAAUCAUAUAAGCAACAAUUUUUCCUCAAAUGCCAUUGUAAGGAUAUUUUAAAAUAAAUAAAAUCAAAAAUUUUCUUUUAUUUUAAAACUUUGCGGAAAAACUUAUCCUUACAAUCCAUAUGAAAACUUGUUGUUAUCUAUUCCUAAGCAAUAUCUCAUAACUCCUAAGAAGUUGCUCAAGAAUCCGAUCUUCAAACUAUGCGAUAGAAAUCCAUCUACGCCAUCAGAUUCAGCAUAUUCUUUCUUUAAGUUUCUUCACUUUUCUUUGAUUCUUAAAACAUCACCAUGUGACCCAGUCACAUCAUGUAUCAGGAAUCUCAGAAUAGAAACUUAACAGAGUUAGAUAGUGGACUUUACCUGAAGUAGAGUCAAACUUAUUGACUUUAACAUCCUUAGGUAAAUUUGGCAGCUUCGCAACCAAUGCCCCUUCCUUUGGCAAUAUAAACAUAUGGACCCUUUGAUAAUGGUACACGAGACUAUCACAGACUUAGCUUUUCUCUUUACCAUUUGGUCAACCGAGUUGACUAUGGCCGAUCCCUUUCCAUUGGGAAGAGAAUGCUUUACUGGAUAUCCAAUGUCAUCAUUGUCAAUGUCCAUAAAGUUUUAGGAAGUUGAUCUUAGCAAAUAGAUAAGAUCAUUAAGGGUCUUGUCAUAGUCUGUUUCAUAGGUGUCCCAAAGGAACUCACUAUGUGACUUAGAAAGUGAUUGAACCACCAACUUUCUCAAGACUUUGACACCCAACUCUCCCGGCUUGUCAAUAUGUGACUACAUCUCCAAGAUGUGAUCACACCUAGACCUUGCCUUGCCAAUAGGGCUUGAGUGACCUUAAACUUUUCAAGAACUUGUGGGUUAGGGAGAAUAAUUGGAGGAGGAGAAAGAAGUAUGAUAUCCAUGGGACAUCAUCUUCAUUAGGAAACCUUGUUUCAAGAGAUUUGGGAAGAUCAUAGGUGUCUAAACCAGACAUCUUUUGGGAGAUAUUCAAGAUAGUUGAUUUAAAGUCCUUAAUAUGACACCCAAUAUGAAAUAUUAAGGCUAGGACCCAACAAACUAUUUUAUAACUUAGAAGAGGUAUGCCGUAAUCCAAGCUAUAAAAUAUUUGAAGGUAGGUGAAUGACGAUUCACCAAUUUCCACCAAGAUAAACGAAAUGUAUUAUUAGGUUUUAAUUGGUUUUGAAACUCCUAGAUCUUUGAGAUUCAUUGAACUGUUCAAAGGCAUGUUUCAAUCUCGAGUGUGCCCUUCAGGUUUUGUGACUGGGAUGCCGAGGAUCACAAAACAAGGUGUGAAGUAACCAUGCAAAUCACUUGGUACCCUUAAUAAAUUACCCCUCAAUCGAUGUGCCGGUUAACCACACACGCUCCAUCGAUACUAUGAUAAAUAUUAAGUCACCCUUUACCUACCUUGUUAAGUCCAAGUUAGUGUGCCGGUUAACCACACACGCUCCACUAACGACUUAGACAAAGUGUAAAGUGUAAUUUCAUGGAUUAGCACCUUAUUCACAUUUUUCCUAAGUAACUAAGAUUGGGUAUUAUUAAGAGUUUAGUUACUUAGUAUUAUCAUUAAUACUUUUAAUGAAGGGAGAAUUCUAGUCCUGUCAAACCCGUUCGGCUAACGACCCUCCACCAGUCAAGCAAGCGGUGGGUGAGAGUGGACACCCAUUAAGUUGCCAUUUUAUAGGCAACAACCUUAUACCCACCUUAUAGACCGGCUUCGUGAAUGAGGCGUACUAGCGGUAAGACUGACUUUACUCUUAUACAUAUAUAUAUUAUUAACUUAUAAUAUUAUAAAGUAUAAGGGUUGAAUUUUAACUUUUAAAAUUCUAAGGGCUAACUUGGAAUUAAAGUAUUCAUAAGUGAAAACUUUACAAAUUCCAAAACUUGAGGGCAAGUUUUGAAACUAUUCAAAACUAAUUAAUUCCAUAACUUAUGUGUUUAAAGUAGUUUUAAUCCAAAAACUCUUCAAGUUCCAUAACUUGAGGACAAGUUAUGGAAGACUUUAAACUAAUAAAAGAAUUAACUUUUCUUUAUUUUAUAACUUAUGGAAUUAAUUAAGGUUACACUUUUUUUUUUUUUAUUUUAUUUUAUUAAAUGAAGAGACUCUUGGUCCUCCAUAACUUGAGGACAAGUUAUGGAGUCAUAAAACCAUUUAAUUAGAACUAGACUCUUCAUUUUUGUAACCUUUGCCAAUUUUUAUGAGUUUUAUGAUUCUUAAAUGUGACUUUUCAUAUAACUUGAGGACAAGUUACAAAAACACAUUUUAGAAUCAAUUCUUAGAUUAAUUUGGAUUAAAACCAACUAUCACAUAAUUUUAUUCAUUAAUCUAAAUUCACUCAUAAAACAAGGUAACACAAAAAACUUUUGGUGAUCCAUAACUUAUUCUUAAGUUAUGGAAUCCUUUAAAACAUUAACACCAAAUUUUGUAACUCCAAAAAAACUUUGAAUCAAUUUUUUUUUUAAAACCUUUUCAUAUCCAUAACUUAUGGAGGUUUCAAAAAAUAAAACUCUUUAGAUCAAACUUUUAAAACUAAUAAAAUAAUCAUAUUAUUUUAUCUUUUAUUAAAUUUGACCUAAUUCAACUCAUAAAGCAAAUUAUUCAAAUUUUACAAAUAAUUAGUUUUUCACAAGAACAAGUAAUUAUCUUAAAAUUUGACAAACUUCAUGUUUUUUUUUUUUUUUUUUUUCAACUUUGAAAAUAAAAUAUUUGCAUCAAUAUAACAGAAAACAACCCGUGGCUCUGAUACCACUGUUGGGUUUUGAGCAUUCUAACACUUCCUAAGUGUACAUGCAACCCUAAAUACCUUGGAUCUAUGUUUUCUCUAUUAUACAUGCAAAUAAGAACAUCCAAGGUAUUAUCCUAAUCUAGCAUACAAAAACUAUGAAUGUAACAAGAUAGAAUACAUACCUCUUGAUGUAGCUUGAUGUCUUCAAGCUUUAAGAGCUUAGCCCCAAUAGUGUGGAAGCCUCAAGUGGAAUCACAAAUCACCAAGACACCUUAGAAGACUUUAUAGAAUAUGAAUACUUGGUUCUCUCUAGUGAAAUUGGCUAGCCCUUCUUUAGUGUAUCCACACUAGUGCCAAUUUCACCAACCAAAGACAUCUUUAUAUAGUAUGGAGGAUUAGGGUUAAACCCUAAUACCCAUGACCUUUCAUUUCCUAGGAUCCAUGGGUUAAACACUCC